CGGGAAUUUUGGGCAAUGGGGGAAACCCUGACCCAGCAACGCCGCGUGAGCGAUGAAGGCCUUCGGGUCGUAAAGCUCUGUCGGGAGGGAAGAAGGCUCUCGGAGUGAAUAAUUCCGGGGGAUUGACGGUACCUCUAGAGGAAGCGCCGGCUAACUCCGUGCCAGCAGCCGCGGUAAUACGGAGGGCGCAAGCGUUGUUCGGAAUCACUGGGCGUAAAGCGCGUGUAGGCGGCUUGGUAAGUCGGGUGUGAAAGCCCGGGGCCUAACCCCGGAACUGCACUCGAAACUGCCUCGCUCGAGUCCCGGAGAGGAUGGUGGAAUUCCCGGUGUAGUGGUGAAAUACGUAGAUAUCGGGAGGAACACCAGCGGCGAAGGCGGCCAUCUGGACGGUGACUGACGCUGAGACGCGAAAGCGUGGGGAGCAAAC
rnacentral:rRNA from 1 species